rnacentral:rRNA from 1 species
ACAGCCAUCCCACCCCGACCGCUUGUCUCUGAUCUCGGAAGCCAAGCAGGGUCUGGCUUGGUUAGUACAUGCAUGGGAGACUUCUGAGAAUACCAGGCU